rnacentral:lncRNA from 1 species
CCUGCCCCCGGAGCCGUAGUCUGCGACCCCUCUUACUCCUCUCCUAUUGGUUGCCAGAGGGACGCGCUGUGAUUUCCUAUUGGUCGCGUCUGCUCUCUGGCGCCAAGCCUCCUCCCUCCAGGUACCGUCCGGUCUCUGGGUGCCGGAUAGGUUACAGGCUGAGAGGGCGUCUGCCCACUGGGCCAGUGAGCAGCGUGGAGAGUGAGGGCGGCGGCUGCGUGGUAGGGCAGGGCGGGACUUCGCGUGGCUAUUGGCCAGGGCGGGUAGAGGCUGGAGAUACGAUUGGUUGGGGAGAAGGGACCGUGGUGGGGUUCGAGCUGCGCGGCCUCAGCUGCUGCGGGAGACGGAAGUGGUGAGAGCGCGGCUUUGGAGGGUCGGGCGAACGCCGCCUGGGUUGUGGUCCUCUCCCUCUUGUCCUCUGCUCUGGACUCUGCCCCCAGUAACAGGUCAGGUGGGUGCUACUCCUAGACUCAGAGAAUGGCCGAACAGCCCUGUGGAUUCAUGCCCCUACCAGGGCCAAAAGAACUUUUGUGGUGGAAUUCUCACCGGGCAGUCUCACUUGUUGCUUCUUCCAUUGCCUGACUGGUGUGAUGACUUACUGAGAGGCUGGAUCCUCUGUGAUGGAGGAAAAUGAGUUGCAGAGAAGGUCAGGGGUAGACCCGUGUGUGACAUUUAUUGAUUCUCUGGUGAUGUUAAUGAUCAGCACACUUUCCUCUUGUGUUCUGUCUCCUUUAGUGACGAGCAGGCAGCCAGGACCCUCGCCAAGGUAGAAUGGUGAGUACUCCUUUCCCCUCAUACCACUAUGUGUCUAUGUAUCUUGCAGUCUGUCUCAGUGAAGCUGUCCCACCUCUCUUGGCCUCAGUGCUCCGGGAUACUCUGUUCACUUCCUAAACAGGCGCAUUUGCCCUGUUACUUUUUCUUUCUGGUGGGCGGUGGUGUUUUGAGACAGGUUUUUACUGUAAAGUCUUCGUUAGCCUCGUACUAGAAAUGUAGCCCUGCCAGCCUUGACUUGUGCCUCCGUCUCCUAAGUGUUAGGAUUGCAGGUGAAUGCAGUGUGGGGCCUUGUGCUUGAUAGGCAAGUACUCUAACACUGAGCUAUGGUUUCUUAGGAUUGAAAAAAAAAAACCAGGCACCAAAUAGCACUCAGGACAUUGUAGUUUUUCUCCGUGUUGGGUCAUUCCUUCUUACACUAACGAACUGCUCUGUCUCCUCUUACUUUUCUUUGAUCCCUGGUUAAAACUAUGCAUUUUCUGGUGUAAGAAAACUAGUCUUGGGGUUGGGGAUUUAGCUUAGUGGUAAAAUGCUUGCUAGGCCCUGGGUUUGGUCCUCAGCUCUGAGAAAAAAAAAAAAAAAAAAAGAAAAGAAAAGAAAAAAGAAAACUAGUCUUUCUAUCUGAGAUUCCUGAACUUCAGGGCGUGGUGGCACAGCCUUUUGAUCACAUCUCUUAGGGACAGAGUCAGGUGAUUCUCAGCCAAGUCUAUGUAGUGAGUUCCAGAAAAGACC